AAAGUCAUUUAUAAACCCAUUUGGUCUCUCUAUUUUCCCUAUCUCACUUCUUUUGAGACAUGUCCAUCAACCAUUUCUCUUCACAACUUCCUACAGAACCAUUAUUCUGGUAUAGCCCAAAACAACACUACAAUUUCAUGGAAUCAACAAGCAAAUCCUCAUCUCCAAAUCACAAUAAUAGCAACCAAUUAGACGAAAUUGAAAUCCCAAAAGAACAUUUAUUCGAGAAACCAUUAACUCCUAGCGAUGUAGGGAAGCUCAACCGAUUAGUCAUCCCUAAACAAAACGCGGAAAAAUACUUCCCGCUUAACGGUUCCAUUAAUGACUCUGGUGAAAAGGGAUUAUUACUGAGUUUCGAGGACGAAUUGGGUAAAUUAUGGAAAUUUAGAUAUUCAUAUUGGAAUAGUAGCCAGAGUUAUGUAUUAACUAAAGGAUGGAGUCGUUAUGUUAAGGAGAAAAAAUUAGAUGCUGGUGAUAUUGUUUUAUUUGAGCGACACCGGUUAGAUGGUGACCGACAAUUUAUUGGGUGGAGGAGGAGGAACGCCGCCGCUACAACCACCGUUGCUCCGCCGGGUGGUGGUGGUGGGUGGGCCCAUCCUUAUCCAUCAGCAGGUGUUUCAUACCAACCUGGCUUUAUUCAUGCUGGAAGAGGAGUAAUGCACAACCAAACUACAACAAAUGGGAACAAUACAAGGAGACAAGUAAGGUUGUUUGGGGUGAACCUAGAGUGCGAGGUAGAUGAGUCGUGCUCAGAGCCAUUGACCCCAGAUGGCUCAUCAUCAUCGAGCCACCACCAACAAAGUCAUGAGUAUCAGGGUCAAGCUAGCCAACACUAUUACCAAUACCAAGUCCAUUAUUCCAAUCCUCAUGUUGUUCCUGCAGCUGCUUCCUAUAAUAAUAACAGCUACAAUGACAUGCAGGCAACUUCCAAAAACUUGAAGCAAACUUCAAUGAACCAAAAGAUAUUGUGUUAAAAUGAGUAGCUUUGGCGAGGCAACUUUAGGAGAACAAAAAAAAAAAAAAAAAGGGGGAGCAAUAUAGUCAACUUUGCUGCUCACUCCCAGAGUCAGACUUCUAUUUGGUAACCAAAUCAAACUCUGCAAGCUGGCAUAUCAAAGACUUAUGUUGAUAUGGAUUACUCGAGAAAUGUCAACCAGAUGAGAUAUCACCAGGGAUAAGAUCUGUGGAUGUGACAUAAGGAUUCACUAUUAUGGGCCACUUGGAAAAUGGAAUAUCAAAAACAAGCAAUUAAAAGAAAAAAGAAAACUAAAAAGGGAAAAAUCCCAGAUUUUCUGGCCACCUGCUUCUCCCAGAAAGGUGAUGUACGUCAACUUCAACAACUCCAAGUCCAGGGGAAAGCAAAUGAAAAUAAAAAUAAAAAUUGCAACUUUGAAAGAAACGUGAGAGUGUUUUGAGGUGUGAGGAGCUGAACAGUGGAGCAGAGGUGGGCCAUCCAAGUAUAGAUUGACGUAAACAAAGGCCCAAAUGGAAUAAUAUGGGCCGUUUGUAUACAAAAAUCUUGCCGACCCAACUUGUUUGAUACUGAAACGUAAUUAUUGUUUGUUUGCAAGAAUUUAUAAAUAAAUGCAGGAUGACAUCCUUAACAAGAAGUAUAGGAACCAAGAGGAAAUAUAAUGGAGAUUACAAGCGUUCAUGGUUCA